ACCGUGGCCGCUAACUGCCAGAAGCAUAUAGGUUCUAGAGGUCGUGAGUUCAAAGCCCCGACCCGGCCGAGAUAAGGUUCCAGUAUAGUGAAUUUUACUGUGCUGUAUAUGAAUUUAUUUUUAUAUCAGCAAUUCAAGUGUAUUUUCAAGAAGGUUAUAUAGGAAAUUGCAUACUCUAGUAUUUUGCAGAAAUGCCUGGUAAGGUACCCUAAUUUUUUGCAAGAAAGCUUGUCAAAGUAGUAGUAAAUCAUUAACAAAUUCCUGGAAAAAGUUAUCUAAAAUUGAGGAACGUGUCGUCUGACCUAAACGGAAGGAAGCUUUCAGCAGAAAAUUUUGAGAGAGAGUUGAGCCUACUUUUACAGGAUGAUUGUUUGGUAUUGAUUCUGAAAUGUGCAGAUGCUGGUGUAUGCCGCAACUGUCACAACAAGGUAAAAGGUACAUUUGAUUUCAUUCAGCAAGUGCAGUAUUCAUGCAUGUCGUUUUUAAAUGAACCUUUUCAUGUAAAAAGAACGAUGCCUUCCCCUCUUACACCGAAAAGUAUGCAGGGGUGUAAAUCUGUGAACCCUACUACCGUCAGUACCGACACAGUACAUGUAGUUCAACCAAAGUCUAGAAAACGACUAAAAUUUACGUUCGAAAGCUCAACAGUGAAAUGUCAAAAUACAACUCCAUCUCACGAUAUAACUACAUUCUAUGCAUACAGUGUCAUUCGAGCAUGGCUAUGCUGCUGUGAAUCCAGAUAUAAAAAUGGAAAGUGUUGACCAUGCAUUUCAACUGGUAAAAUCUACAUGGGAAAGUCUUACAAGUGACAUAGAAAAUGAAGUUCCAUCAGUUCUUGGAAAUUCUUCUGCCAAUUUUUUUCAUGGGUUAAGAAAUCAAUCCAGAUCGCUGAUGUCAAGAACAACAAUGCUUGCUUCGGUAUUAUUUAAGUACAGAGAAGCUAACUCUUUAGUGGAAAACGCAGACCUCCUUUUUCAAGGUAUUAUAUCAGAGAUGAAAAACAGGUGAGUAAUUUUCCCUCAGAAUUAAACCUUCUGAGCAACAUUUAUAAUUUUAUCAAAGAUUUAGUGUAAAUAUUAAAUAUUAUUGAGCAUAUAGAUAUAGUAUUAUUGCACAUGCUAUUAUUUUCAGACUAUGUAUUGAAUCAAAUUACUUAAAAUUGAAUGAUGUAUAUACAUUUUUUUUGAUUGAUGGUCCCUUCUUCCCAGUUAUAAGAAUCUUGAAUCCUGGCAACGUUUAUUUUUAGGAUGCCACAUUUAUUAGAGGUUAUGUGUUGUGUAGCUGUUCCUGAGAAUAGAAAGUUAUCACCAUCGAUAAUUCCAGUUCUUGCGGCAUGCUAUAGUAUUUUGAUGAAACCUAAGUAUUCCAACUUAUCAGCUUUCCGCAGACUUGCCAGUACAAUUGCAGUUGAAGGGGACUGAAUGAUAGAUUGAUACAAUUUUGAGUGCAUGUUGACUUAUCACAGGAUGGAUCUACCUAUUAAAAUGCCAAAAUAAGAAGACUUUGGGCGAAACUAGAUUCAAUCACUUAGGAAUCAUGUUGUCAUCACAGAGAAGAUUGAACUUUUAAGAAUCUAUUGGUUGUGCAUCGCAGAAUCCAAUCCACUGUUGAAGGUGACAGGUGAUAACCUAGAUAUAUAUAUUAAGAGAUCAAACCUGACAUCAGACAGCAGGAAUCUGGAUCUUCAUCUAUUUGCCUAAAAUAUCAUUUUUAGUCGAGUUGCCACAGUUGACAUGAAUAAUGAAAUACUAAUGUGUCCCAAUUAUCUGCAGAUGAUGUUCUCCUUAGAGCAAGUGGCCCAGAAAGACAUUAAGUUCAUGGAUGUAUGUUGUGUGUUACUCUGCCGAAUAUUAUGUCAAUUGCCAUAUUUUCAGAAGUUUGGGAAGAUUUUGCCAAAACAUAUUCUACAUGGAUUUUUACAGAAAAUGGCUUGUGCUUCAAAAGUUAUGCCAUUGCCCAUCCAGUUUAAAAAUGAAGCUGAGCACGAAGAUUGCUUAGCAAUUAUGGAUAAAUUUGAAGACCAGAAUACAACAAUGUACCAAACUGCCUUCGGUAAUUUGGAGAUUCUUAGAAAAUUCAAAGUGGUUUUGGUGGGAUACCCGUUAACAAGAACAAGAUUGCAAGAGGCAAAAAACCUGCGGACCGUCUCUAUAACACCUGAAAGAAGAUUUGAACCCAAUUGUAAUCCAGAUGUGGCAUAUCAAACAAGACUUUUUAGAGAUAUGCUUCAAAUCCUUAUACAAGGGUGAGUAUUUUCCUGGAACACUCAGCUUCUUCAAAAUGCACUUACAUCGGACAAAUGUGAAUGUACAGGUGAAAGGGAGAUUCCAACCUCACUUUGAUCUUCUUAUGACUGUUGGGGGAGGGGGGGCUGGUUAAACAGGUUAUGGAAUUUUUCCAAAUGGAGAAUAAGUACAGCCAACCCAACCACAAGAACUUUGAAGAUAUUGACAUCAAAUCAUCUGAAGAAAAGAAAACCCUUAUUACUGGCUGCUGUGAAUGAUUUUAUGAAGUAUUUUGGAUACUGCAAUGCAGAUACAGCUGAAGGUCUUCCUCAACCGCUAAAGGGAACAUUGAUAUAUCAUCUGCAAAAAACAGGGGAUGAAAAUCAGUGGAUUUUAGUGCCAUACCAUGAAAAACCACAAGAUGAUGAAGUCUUUAAUUAUUCAAUGCAACCCUGUCAUUGUUAUUUGCAUAUAUUGGAGCUGCAUGAUACUGCAAAAGAAGGUGAUCUAAAUUGAACACUUCUCAACUGUAAAUAUUCAAUUCCAUUUUUCUAUUCUCAUUCAAGAUUGAGCAAAUAUCUGGUUGAGAAUGUGGACUAUCUAUUGAAAACAUAAAUUACUGUCUCCUUUACAACGCAUUCGUGUCUUGGAAGGUUCCUAUGUCAACAUUUGGGGCGGUCAUGGCAAUAAUGUUGAAUGUGACUUAGUACAGGAGCACAGGGUAUGUAAUCAAAAAGCUCUAAUCAAAGCAUUGGGAGCAAACAAAAGUGAGAAAUUUAUUUCUCCUAUGACUGCAUCAGCUGAUGCAAUUGAUGAAGUCUGCACAAAAUUUGAUAGAAGUGUGAAUUUAAAGCCAAAAAGUGGCAGACAUUCUUUGUCAUUUUCUGAAGCAGACAGUAAAAAUGUUUAUAAACAACUGAGAGACUUAAGACCAUUUCAUCACUACCCAGGCAGAACCUGUAAGGGAUUCAAUAAUAUAAGCCCCGUUCCACCCCCUUGGGAAGAAAUGCCCAAACUCAAAGAGAGACUUAACCAAAUCAUAAAGAGACUUUCACGUGGAGGAUGUGUUUGAUCCUGAUAAUGAAGUUAUUGAUAAUCUGUCACCAUUAUGAAUCUGUUGUCUGUAAAUACUACAACAUUUCCCUGUUUGCUUCGUGCAUGGAUAUUUUAUAAUUUUAUGCAUUGCAUAAGUUACAUGUAUAGCAUUGCGUUAAAUGGAUUACAACAAUUUCCAUUUUCCCUUAAGGUCUAAGUUAGCUUCACCAAAUAAAGAAUGUUGUAACACUCUG